CUGGGUAAUAUGUUUGAUUUAUUAGAGAGUUGUUCUAGAAUAAGAUUAUCUGAUGUCAAUAUUCCUUACCUGUUGUUGGUUUCUUAUUUUUAUUGGAUGACAGGUCAUCCUCCCAGAUACUGUGGUGGGCACUCCAUGCAUUCUAAGCAAUAACACAUUCUGAGUUUAGUUAGUCCAUUGCACAGCCCACAGAGGACAGGUUCAGCUUCCAGUGUGAAUAGCAGUGCCAAUCUUUAUUUUGAAGCAUCAGACAUACAUUUUUAUACAUCUGAUGUAUUUUGUGUCUUAUCACUAGGAUAUAUGUAGCAUCCCUGAGUUAACAUUUAUAGUUUCUGCUAUUCGUAAGCAUCCAGAAAUCUGUGAUACCUGUAAAUGUUCUUCCUGCAGCUCACCACUUUAUAGUCACACUGGAAUUCAUUCAGUACUCAAACGCCACAGCUUACCCUCCUCUUAGGCCUUUUCUCUUUUUCUCUCUCUCUCUUUUUUGAGACAUGGUCUUGCUCUACAUUCCAGGCUGGAGUGCAGUGGCAUGAAUGUACUGCCCACUGCAGCCUUGACCUCCUGGGCUCAAGGGAUCUUCCCACCUCAGCCGUCAGAGUAGCUGGGACUAUAGGCACGAGCCACCAGGCCUGGCUGCUUUUUACAUUUUUUGUAGAGACAAUGUUUCACCAUGUUGAGCUAGUCUCAAACUCUAGGCUAGAGUGAUCUUCCUGCCUUGCCCUCCCAAGAGUGCUGGGAUUACAGUGAGCCAUUGCGUCACCCCUUUUCUCUAUAUUCUCUUCUGGAAUGUUCUGAUCUUCCAAAGGCUGCCUUCUUUUUUAUCAAUUCAGUUUGGAUUAGGUGUCACUUCUCACAGGCCCAAUUGCUCUCAUCCUGCCUAUUGUAAUUUUCCAGGUAACACUUAAUGCUCUUUAUGAGAUUUUUAUUUAACCGUUUUUUAAUGGUGAAAUUUAAUACAGACAUAGAAAACCACGUAAAAACAAUUGUUUAACUUAAUGGGUUGCCAGAAGGUGAAUACCCCUGUACUCAGCACUCAGGCUGGGAAAUCAAGCUUUGCUGCUUGAUUGUGAUACCAGCCAGGGUCCUCUUCCUCCCUGUGGAAGGAGGUGUGGUCCAGCCUCUUGUGGGGACUCUUUUCUUUUCUUCCUGGUUUCCUCUUCCAUGCUUCCAUAAGCUUCAUAGUUUACUUUUCGCUGAUUUUCAUUAUGGGUUUUCCGUCUAUCUUUUAAACUUUUUGGUCAACAAUCUUCCUUCCCAUUUCUUUUUUUUUUAAUUACAUUUUAUUUAAGAAACCAAGUCGUUGGUCUGUAGAGGUUCUUGUAUUCUGGAUUUUGUGGAUUGCUUUGCUUCACUCUGCAGUGUCUCAGGCCCUCCUGUAUUUCCUGUGAAUGGGUACGGAACAUUACUGAUAGAAAUUCUGUGAUGACUGGAAUGUAUAUCCAAGGUGUGGGUUGUGGCUACUUGUGGCUACUGGGCACUUUAAAUAUGGCUAGUGAGAUGGGAGAACUAAUUUUAAAAUUUUAUUUAAUCUUAAUUAAGAUGAAUUUAAAUAGCCACAUGGUUGUAUUUACCUGAUGGAUGAAACAUGUAGCAGUUGGAUAGGAUUUAAAUUUGAUUUUUAUUUUUCAGUGAAACUUCUUCCCAGGUGGUGGUGUUUUCUUAUUGAGAGGCAUAUAAAGACCGGUUGUGUCCUUUUAAUGGCAUGAGACGGAGAGAUGGUCUAAUCUGCCAUACACCGGGGCAGUGGCCAGUGAUUUGAACUUCGUGGCAUAGAUGGAAACUUCCAGGUUCUCUUGGUGGUAGGCAGAGGCCUCAGUUUUUAAGAAACUCCCCAGCUUCAUUCCUGCCAAUGAGGAUGUUGAUUGAGGAUAUUCCUAUCAGUUUUAAGUAGAAGAGAUUGUUUCUUGAUGUUGAAUUUCAGAUAAGGAAUCUAGCCCCUGCAUAUCACGGUUGUGGUGCUUGGGCUGAGACAGGUCUAGAGAGCAUGGUCUGAAAAGGGGCUCAAGGAAGUAGCUGUGAAAGACCCCUGGGAUGUUUUCUGCUCCCCUCUCUGCAAUCUCCCUGGAGGGAGAUCCCGUUAGUCACUGUGGGGUGUGUGUGUGUGUAUGUGUUCAUCACUUCUUUUAUUUUCAUUUUUGUUUUUCUGCAUAAAGUCUGCAGACUUUCCAACAGUACCUUGAUAUUUUCUGAAAGCGGAGUCGAUGUGCACACUCUAGGGCCUGAGGGCUCAAUUUGGUGGUAUUUACUUGAGACUGGUGUGUACCUACAAACCAUGUGACGGGGUCAGGGCCAAAGAACACUAGUUUCUGUGUCCUGUUUCUGUGUUAAAAAGACAUUUCAUUCAACUGGAUAACAGGCCAAGGCUAGUGGAGAAAAGGUCUACUCUGCCAUAGGACGGGGCAGCAGCCUGCAGUUCAGAAGACUGUUGUGUGUCUGGAAAUUUCCAGAGCCUCCAUUUGCUGACAGAGGGCCAGAAGGGAGGGCGCAUUUGUUUGCAGAUCAGAGGAGGGCGUCUGUUCACCCUGAUGUGAUGUUGGCCAUGUGUGGACCCUUGACUUUUCAGGGUUGGAUGUCCUGACUGACACUGCCAUAGGAGGGUGUAAGAGGCUGAGAGUGAUGCAACCGUAGGCUGUGGGGAUGAUAUUCACAGGAAGCCUCCCUGUUGCCUGUGGCAAGAGCAAAGAGUGAAAUGCUUGGGGCUGGGAAGAGGCAACAAAAGCCUACAGAAUCUAUUCUCAGUUCAUCUCCCAUCCUAGUCCUAUCAUGGCCUAACAUCCUUAGCUACCGAUUGCAGAGGAGAUUCUGCACAUUUGUGUUCAUGUGGCUUUGGAUGUUGGCAGAUUCACAUUGGUGCCCCUGGCAUCUGUGCCUGCAUCUGCUGUUUCAACGGGCUCAGAAACAGGCUAAAGGGCCUCCAGGCUUCCUCCAGUUUCCUUGUAUAUAUAUGUGGAAAAUACUCUCUUGGCCUGGGUCGUUCCUACCUUUUCUUGCCAGUUGGGUCAGAUCUAGCUUAUUAACCAGUGUUUUUUGAGCUUUAAUAGAACUGGCUCAGACCAGUUGGAGACCUGAAAAGGGCUAUGUGAUAGACAUUUUUUUUUAGAGUAGUUUCAAAUGUACAGCAAAAUGGAGUACAGACUCCAGAGUUCCCUUAUGCCCUCAAUUCCUGUACACUCUUGGGUCACUCCACUAACAACCUCCUAUACCAGAGUAGAAUAUUUGUCAUGACUAUGACAAAUAUGACAUGUCAUAUUUGAUGACUUAUACUGACACGUCAUCAUCACCCAGAGUGAUACCCUUGGUGACACACAUUCUGAGGGUUUGGAGAAAUGUAUAACGAGUAUAUGUAUAAUGAAUGUAUCAUCAUAGCUGUCAUGAUAUCCUGCAGUGUAUUUUCACUAUGGUAAUUAUCUUGUGCUCUAUUUAUUUAUCCUCUCUUUUCCUAACCACCGCAAACCACUAAUCUUUUCAGUCUCCAUAGUUUUGCAUUUUUCUGAACGUUACGUUCUUGGAAUCGUAGAGCAGAUAGCUUUCCAGAUUGGCUUCUUUCAGUUAGUAAUGUGCAUUUAACAUUUCUCAGUGUCUUCUGAUGGCUCAAUAGCUCAUUUUUUUUUAGAAGUGAUUAAUAUUUCAUUUUCUAAAUAUACUGCAGUGUUAUCUAUCAGUUAAGCUACUGAAGGGCAACUUAGUUCUUCCUCCAUUUUGGUAGCUAUUUUAGAAACUGCUAUAAACAUCUGUGUUCAGGUUUUUGUGUGGACAUCAGCUUUCCGAUCAUUUGAAUGAAGACCUAGGGACUGCAGCUGCUGGAUCACACAGUAAGAGUAUGUGUAGUUCUGUAAGAAACUGCCCGUAAUAGGAGAGUCUUUACAAUGGUAGAGGAGAACAUGUUAACAUACUGAAGAAUCAGUCCACUGAAGGAGAUAGAACUUGAGGAUCUAGAAAGAAUGAUGUAACCAUGAGAGCUGUUAAAAGACACGAUUAGGCAUUCUGAAACAUUAGGAGGUAUAUUUGAGCAUUCAGAAAUUUAAAACCAGGCAGCCCCAGGCUACAAGCAGCUCAGAGCUCCAACAUAGAGGAUUCGGGAGGGUAGGGGAAGACUUACAUUGUGAAUGUAGAAGAAAAAGAAAAUGCUUGAUCUGGUAAAGUGCAGCAGUGGUCUCAUUUGGAUCAUUACAGUGGAAAGUCUCUAGGUAGAUGUUAGUUGAUGGUUUCUGACUGGUUAAGCUUAAGUUUCCUUUUAUUUACACUGAGUCAAGUUUUGGUUUGUUUAAGGAGAAACUGAGUGCACUACACUGGAGCCAUCCUGAGCCUCAUGGCCACCUGUUUAUUUGAUUAUUUUUUUUCACAGAGAAGACCCUUUAAAAAAUAUUCGUUGCCCUGCCUCCAGUGCAGUGGUAUGAUCACGGCUCACUGCAGCCUCAACCUUCCAGGCUCAGGUGAUCGUCCCACCUCAGUGCUCCCAUCCUCAGUAGCUGGGACUAUAGGCACGUGCCACCACACCACCAUGCUCAGCUAAUUAUUUAUCUGUAUUUGUUUUAGAGGUGGGGUUUCCCUCAGUUGCUUAGGCCUUUUUCAAAGUCCUGGACUCAAAUAAUCUGCCUCCAUUGGCCUCCCCAAUUGCCAGAAUUACAGGCCAUCUGACACAAGAAAAGAAAAUGAAAUACCACAUGUUCUCACUCACAGGCAGGUGUUGAACAAUGAGAACACAUGGAUACAGGGAGGGGAGCACUAUACACUGGGGUCUGUUGGGGGGAAUAGGGGAGGGACAGUGGGGGUGAAGUUGGGGAGAGAUAGCAAUCUAAAUCUUUUAUCUCAGAUUUGCCUUGUGAGAAAAGGAGGGAUGAUUUUUCUGACAUGAUGAGGGAGAGAAAGAUGAGGUGGGUGCAUUCUGUGCAUAUUAUUUUCUUAGGUGAUGGAAAGAUGAUCGGCUAUUACCUAAUGGGAUAUCUUUUCUCCUUAAUUGAUUUGGCAAGAUAUCAGAAGAGAGAAGUUGAAUAAAGGAAGAACACAGAAAAGAUUGGUCGAAAAGUUAGAAGAACAUAGAAAAAAUGAUGUCGUUGGAGAGACAAACCUUUUAUUGAUUUUUGGAAAAUUUGGGGCCAGUGUGUUGUGUAAGAAAUUUGAAUUUGUGAUGAUACCUGUGACCAUUUUUUUGAUAUUUUUCUGGUUCAGCUGAGUGGUGUCACUGAGCCAACACAAAGUGGGGCUCAUCCAGGGAUGAGAUUUUGCCAGAGAAAGGACAAGCAGCAAGUCAGGGAGCUUAAGGCAAUUACUAGAAAGUGACUGUCUAAAAUUGCUUAGGUGGAAAGAGACAGAUUGGAUUUUGGUGUUUGGUAUUUGGGGGAAGAGGUGUAUGGGUAUGUACAUGAGAUGUGUUGUUCAUUCUCCUGAGAGAGAAAAUGGGGGGAUUAAUGGCUGUAGUUCUGGACAAGGUGGAAAACUCUUAAAGUGGAAGUAUUGGGGCAAGUGCUCUGACAGGCUGGGAUGGUGUAGUCAGUCCCUUCACCUGGAAGUCAGUAGAAUGUUAGCAGUCCAGACUCAAACUUUGUAAAAAACAGGUGGAGAAAAGGAAGUCCCUCACAGUAACUGGCACCAUAAUCAAGACAGAGUGUUUCCAGAAUAAAUUGAGUUAUCUGCUUUCAGCCCCAGGUGGUAGCUCUUCUCUGCCCUGAUGAUAUGUGAUAAUAAUUUGUGAUCCUCAUGUCUUAAAAUGGAGUUACUCAUCUCCAUUAGAAUUAAGUCUACAGUGAAGUUGUCCCCUCAUCCCCAAAGAGAUAAACACAUAUGAAUGGGCUGAGGUGAUAACAAUUAUUGCUCUCUGAGAUCAUGAGAGACCUGAAGUGAACUGAUAGGAAGUGAAAGGUGGCUGAGAACAAGAGAAUGGACCCAUCUGCAGGGGAUCAUAAAACCAGCAGAGACAAGAUCUUGUCUAAGACGUUUUCAGAAGCUUUGCCCAUGAGAACUGUAAGGACUUCUCCAGACCUGGUGGCUGCUGCUAUGAUCUCUGCCCCAAAGGAGCAUCUGACCAACAUCCAAAGGGCUUCUGGACCCACUGGAUUCUUCUGAAGGAAGCAAAGGAGGACCAGUGACUGGAAUAGCAAAGAACUCCAGGAUUCAUGAUGAACUAAUUGCUAGAGCAAAAAUCUCCAAGACCUUCCUAACUUAUGAUGGGGAAGGGGUAACUGAAGUUGGAUGAGACAAUACACAAACAUGAUUUCCAGGUUUACCUAAACUGAACAAUGGAAGACUGUAGAUGAUGCCAUUAAGAUUUCUCAAGAAUAUGGAAGAUUAUUAUUCACUUCUGAUGGGACCUUGUAAGUCACCUGAAAACAAUUUGCAUGAAAAACAACUUCUACAAAAUGUCAAGUUAUGCUACAACAUUCACAUAAUAUACAGUACAACCCUGAUCUCUUGGCUUUCAUAAAAUAUUUCUUACCUCUAAACCAAAGUUUCAUUUUAUAAUUUAUUUUUUUUUCAUUUUUCCCAUCUUCUUAGUUUAAGAAAAGUUCAUUGCAGGUCGGGAACAGUGGUUCAUGCCUGUAAUCCCAGAACUUUGUGAGGCUGAGGCAGGUGGAUCGCCCGAGGUCAACAGUUUGAGACCAGCCCAACCAACAUGGUGGAGCCCUAUCUCUACUAAAAAUACCAGAACUAGUUGGGUGUUGGUGGCAGAUGCCUGUAAUCCCAGCUACUGGGGAGGUUGAGGCAGAAGAAUCACUUGAACCCAGGAGGUGGAGGCUGUAGUGAGCCAAGAUAGUGCCAUUGCACUCCAGCAUGGGUGAUAGAGUGGAAUUCCAUCUCAAAAAAAAAACAGAAAAGAAAAGAUCAUUGCAAACUUUUUGUGUGUUUUUCAUAUAUGCUUGCAGAGGGUUGUAAAAUUUUAUUGCGAUUAUUCGUGGUUUAAGCUGAAACUUUUCUAAUCUUUCUUUAGCAAUUGUGGAAUAGCAUGCUAUUUCCUUUCCAUAUUCAAUUGUUUCUUCUGUAUUUAUUACCCUACCCAUAUGUUUGUUGGCCUCACAUGUCUUCUUUGGAAAAGUGUCUGUUCAUAUCCUUUGCCCACUUUUGAAUGGGUUGGUUUGUUUGUUUUUUCUUGUAAAUCAGUUUUAGUUCUUUGUAGAUUCUGGAUAUUAGUCCUUUGUCAGAUGCGUAGAUUACAAAAAUGUUUUCCCAUUCUGUUGGUUGCCAUUUCACUCUAAUUGUUUCUUUUGCUGUGCAGAAGCUGUGGAGUUUGAUUAGAUCCCAUUUGUCUAUUUUGGCUUUUGUUGCCAUUCCUUUUGGUGUUUUAGUCAUGAAAUCCUUACCUAUGCCUAUGUCCUGAAUGGUUUCACCUAGGUUUUCUUCUAGGGUUUUUAUGAUGUCAGGACUUAUGUUUAAGUGUUUAAUCCAUCUGGAGUUAAUUUUAGUGUAAGGUAUCAGGAAGGGGUCUACUUUCUGCUUUCUGCACAUGGCUAGCCAGUUUUCCCAACACCAUUUAUUAAACAGUGAAUCAUUUCCCCAUUGCUUAUUUUUGUCAGGUUUGUCAAAGAUAAGAUGGUUGUAGAUGUAUGGAAUUGCCUCCAAGGCCUCUGUUCUGUUCCAUUGGUCUAUAUCUCUGUUUUGGUACCAGUACCAUGCUGCUUUGAUUACUGUAGCCUUGUCGCAUAGUUUGAAGUCAGGUUGUGUGAUGCCUCCAGCUUUGUUCUUUUUGCUUAGAAUUGACUUGGCUAUAUGGGCUCUCUUUUGGUUCCAUAUGUAGUUUAAGGUGGUUUUUUCCAGUUCUGUGAAGAAGGUCAUUUGUAGCUUGAUGGGGAUAGUGUUGAAUCUAUAAAUUACUUUGGGCAGUAUGGCCAUUUUCACGAUAUUGAUUCUUCCUAACCAUGAACAUGGAAUGUUUCUCCAUCUGUUUGUGUCCUCUCUUAUUUCGUUGAGCAGCGGUUUGUAGUUCUCCUUGAAGAGGUCCUUUACGUUCCUUGUUAGUUAUAUUCCUAGGUAUUUUAUUCUCUUUGUAGCAAUUGUGAAUGGCAGUUCGUUCUUGAUUUGGCUCUCUUUAAGUCUGUUAUCGGUGUAUAGGAAUGCUUGUGAUUUUUCCACACUGAUUUUGUAUCCUGAGACUUUGCUGAAGUUGCUUAUCAGUUUCAGGAGUUUUUGGGCUGAGACGAUGGGGUCUUCUAGAUAUACUAUCAUGUCAUCUGCAAAUAGAGACAAUUUCGCUUCCUCCUUUCCUAUUUGAAUACCCUUUAUUUCUUUUUCUUGCCUGAUUGCUCUGGCUAGAACUUCCAGUACUAUAUUGAAUAGGAGUGGUGAAAGAGGGCAUCCUUGUCUAGUGCCAGAUUUCAGAGGGAAUGCUUCUAGUUUUUGCCCGUUCAGUAUGAUAUUGGCUGUGGGUUUGUUGUAAAUAGCUUUUAUUAUUUUGAGAUACAUUCCAUUGAUACCGAGUUUAUUGAGGGUUUUUAGCAUAAAGGGCUGUUGAAUUUUCUCAAAGGCCUUCUCUGCGUCAAUUGAGAUAAUCAUGUGGUUUUUGUUUUUGGUUCUGUUUAUGUGGUGAAUUACGUUUAUAGACUUGCAUAUGUUGAACCAGCCUUGCAUCUCCAGGAUGAAUCCUACCUGAUCAUGGUGGAUAAGCUUUUUGAUGUGCUGUUGCAAUUAGCUUGCCAGUAUUUUAUUGAAGAUUUUUGCGUCUAUGUUCAUUACGGAUAUUGGCCCGAAGUUUUCUUUUCUUGUUGAGUCUCUGCCGGGUUUUGGUAUCAGGAUGAUGUUGGUCUCAUAAAAUGAUUUGCGAAGGAUUCCCUUUUUUUGGAUUAUUUGGAAUAGUUUCAGAAGGAAUGGUACCAGCUCCUUUUUGUAUGUCUGGUAGAAUUCAGCUGUGAACCCAUCUGGACCUGGGCUUUCUUUGUGUGGUAGGCUCUUAAUUGCUGCCUCGACUUCAGACCUUGUUAUUGGUCUAUUCAUAGUUUUGACUUCCUCCUGGUUUAGGCUUGGGAGGACACAAGUGUCCAGGAAUUUAUCCAUUUCUUCCAGGUUUACUAGUUUGUGUGCAUAGAGUUGUUUGUAAUAUUCUCUGAUGAUGCUUUGAAAAUCUGUGGAAUCUGUGGUGAUUUCCCCUUUAUUGUUUUUUAUUGCAUCUAUUUGGUUGUUCUCUCUUUUCUUUAUUAUCAGUCUUGCUAGUGGUCUGUCUAUUUUGUUGAUCUUUUCAAAAAACCAGCUCUCGGAUUUAUUCAUUUUUUGAAGGGGUUUUCGUGUCUCUAUCUCCUUCAGUUCUGCUCUGAUCUUAGUUAUUUCUUGUCUUCUGCUAGGUUUUGAGUUUUUUUGAAAUUGCUCCUCCAGCUCUUUCAAUUUUGACAUUAGGGUGUCAAUUUUUGAUCUCUCCAGUCUUCUCAUGUGGGCACUUAUUGCUAUAUAUUUUCCUCUAGAAAUUCCUUUAAAUAUGUCCCAGAGAUUCUGGUAUGUUGUGUCUUUGUUCUCAUUGGUUUCAAAGAACUUCUUUAUUUCUGCCUUCAUUUCAUUGUUUAUCCAGUCGACAUUCAAGAGCCAGUUGUUCAGUUUCAAUGAAGCUGUGCGGCUGAGUUAGUUUCUGAAUUCUGAGUUCUAACUUGAUUGCACUAUGGUCUGAGAGACUGUUUGUUAUGAUUUCAGUUGUUUUGCAUUUGCUCAGGAGUGAUUUGCUUCCAAUUAUGUGGUCAAUUUUAGAGUAGGUGUGCUGUGGCGCUGAGAAGAAUGUAUAUUCUGUGGAUUUGAGGUGGACAGUUCUGUAAAUGUCUAUCAGGUUUGCUUGUUCCAGGUCUGAGUUCAAGUCCUGGGUAUCGUUGUUAAUUUUCUGUCUGGUUGAUCUGUCUAGUAUUGACAGUGGAGUGUUAAAGUCUCCCACUAUUAUUGUGUGGGAGUCUAAGUCUCUUUUAAGUCAUUAAGAACUUGCCUUAUAUAUCUGGGUGCACCUGUAUUGGGUCCAUAUAUAUUUAGGAUCGUUAGCUCUUCUUGUUGUAUCGAUCCUUUUACCAUUAUGUAAUGUUCUUCUUUGUCUCUUUUGAUCUUUGUUGCUUUAAAGUCUAUUUUAUCAGAGACGAGAAUUGCAACUCCUGCUUUUUUUGCUCUCCAUUUGCUUGAUAAAUCUUCCUCCAUCCCUUUAUUUUGAGCCUUUGUGUAUCCUUGCGUGUGACAUGGGUUUCCUGGAUACAGCACACCAAUGGGUUUUGACUUUUUAUCCAAUUUGCCAGUCUGUAUCUUUUGAUUGGUGCAUUUAGCCCAUUUACAUUUAGGGAUAAUACUGUUAUGUGUGAAUGUGAUAGUGCCAUUUUGAUGCUAGCUGGCUGUUUUGCCCAUUAGUUGAUGCAGAUUCUUCAUUUUGUUGAUGCUCUUUAGCAUUUGGUAUGUUUUUGGAAUGGCUGGUACUGGUUGCUCCUUUCUAUGUGUAGUGCCUCUUUCAGGAGCUCUUGUAAAGCAGGCCUGGUGCUGACAAAAUCUCUGAGUACUUGCUUGUUCACACAGGAUUUUAUUUUUCCUUCACUUCUGAAGCUCAGUUUGGCUGGAUAUGAAAUUCUGGGUUGAAAGUUCUUUUCUUUGAGGAUGUUGAAUAUUGGCCCCCACUCUCUUCUGGCUUGUAGUGUUUCUGCCGAGAGAUCUGCUGUGAGUCUGAUGGGCUUCCCUUUGUGGAUGACCUGACCUUUCUCUCUGGCUGCCCUUAGCAUUUUCUCCUUCAUUUCAACCCUGGUGAGUCUGACAAUUUUGUGCCUUUGGGUUGCUCUUCUUGAGGAAUAUCUUUGUGGUGUUCUCUGUAUUUCCUGGACUUGAAUAUUGGCCUGCCUUGCCAGGUUGGGGAAGUUCUCCUGGAUAAUAUCCUGAAGAGUGUUUUCCAGCUUGGAUUCAUUCUCUCUGUCACAUUCAGGUACACCUAUGAAACAUAGAUUAGGUCUUUUCACAUAAUCCCAUAUUUCUUGGGGGCUUUGUUCCUUUCUUUUCACUUUUUGUUCUCUAAUCUUGCCUUCUCAUUUUAUUUCAUUGAGUUGAUCUUCAAGCUCUGAUAUCCUCUUUUCUGCUUGGUCAAUUCAGCUCUUGAAACUUGUGUAUGCUUUGCAGAGUUCUCGUGUUGUGUUUUUCAGCUCCAUCAAGUCAUUUAUAUUCUUCUCUAAGCUGUUUAUUCUCAUUAGCAUUUUGUUCAACCUUUUUUAAGGUUCUUAUUCUUUGCAUUGGGUUAGAACAUGUUCUUUUAGCUCAGAGAAGUUUCUUAUUACCCACCUUCUGAAGCCUGUUUCUGUCAAUUCAUCAGACUCAUUUUCCAUCCAGCCUUGUUCUUUUGCCAGUUAGGCGUCUUAAUCCCUUAGAGGAGAAGAGGCAUUCUGGUUUUAGGUGUUUUCAUCCAUCAUUCAUAAAUAAAGAAGGUUUAUUCCCUUCUUUGUGGAUUUAUCUACCUGUGGUCUUCGUAGUUGGUGACUUUUGGAUAGGGUCUCUGAGUGGACAUACUUUUUGUUGAUGUUGAAGUUAUUUCCUUCUGUUUUUGAGUUUUCCUUCUAACAGUCAGGCCUCUCUGGUGUAGGACUGCUGGAGAUCCACUCCAGACCUUGCUUGCCUGGGGAUCACCUGCAGUGGCUGCAGAACAGUAAGGGUUGCUGCCAGUUUCUUCUUCUGUUAUCUUUGUCCCAGAAGGAUACCUGCCCGAUGUCAGCCUGAGCUCUCCUUUAUGAGGUAUCUUUUUGGAUGUACAGGGGUUGGGGAGCUGUUUGAGGAGACAGUCUGUCCCUUAUAGGAGUUCAAGUGCUAAGCUGUGAGCUCUGUUGUUCUGUUCAGAGCUGCUGGGCAGGUACGUUUGAGUCUGCUGCAGCGGAACUCAUAACCAGCUUUUUUCCCAGGUGCUCUGUCCUGGAAAGGUGGGGCUUUAUUUAUUAGUUCCUGACAUGCUUCUGCCUUUUUUCAGAGAUGCCCUGCCGAGCAAGGAGGUAUCCUAGUCACAGUCUGCCAGAAGAGGCAUUGCUGACCUGCUGUGGGCUCUGCCCAGCUGCUGUGUGAACUUCCUUGCAGUUUUGUUUAUAGAGGUAUAGUUAAAACUGCCUUGGUAAUGGCAGUCUGCUUCAGUAAUGUCAGACUGUCUCUGUAAUGGUAAACUGCCUCGGUAAUGGUGGACUGCCUCCGUAAUGGCGGACUGCCUUGGUAAUGGUGGACACCCUUCCCCUGGGUCCAGCUGUGCUUGCUGUGAAGCUUUCAAUCCAGAGUGUUUCAGAUUGCUAGUCUGUGCGGGGGUUGGACCCACCGAGCCAGAUCACCUGGCUCCCUGUUUCAGCCCCUUUUUUUUUCAGUUGAAUGGGUGACUCUGACUCCCAGGUGUUCCAGAUGCCAAAUGAAAUGGCCACCCAGAUUUGUGUGAGUUUUUAUGCAGAGAUACACUGUGCCGGCUGAAACAGCCAUGCUGGAGAUUCGUGGCACUUUUCUGCCUGGGAAUCUCCUGGUCUGUGGGCAGUAAAAAUUCAUUGAAAUGCAGUGAUCACUCACCCUCUGUGUUCUUGCUGGGAACUGCACUCCAGAACUGUUCCUAUUCGACUAUCUUCCCAAGAAUCAGACAUAUUUAAGAAUUCUUAUAACGUGAUUUUUAAAAGUUCAAUUUUUUAAAAUGAGCAAAAGGCUUGGGCAAACUAUUCACAAAGGAACCUAGACAGAUGCCAGUACACACAUGAGAAACGCAUGUACAUCCAAACACUUCCAACAAGCCCACCUAUAUCCUAUUGUAUAAUCCAGCGAUUCCAUCCUUAGGUUUUUAUACAAGAAUAGAGAGAUGAAAAUGCAUGUCUAACAAACAGACUUACAAAACAUGACAAUAGAAGCUUUAUUUGUAAAAGACAAGAAUUAGAAAUAACCCAAAUAUUCAUUCACAGGAGAAUGAAUAAACAGACUAGGUUGAAUUCAUACAAUAGAAUGUUAGCAGACAAUAAAAAGGAAAUGAACUAUUGAUAUCCCCUACUACACAACAGAAGCCAAGAAUCAUGUUCCUGAAUGAAAGAAGCCAGGCAUGAAAGAAUAUACAUUGUAUGAUUCCAUUUAUAAGAAAAUGAAUCUGUGGUUUAAAAAUCAGACUAGUAUUAGGUUGGUGCAAAAUUAUUUGCAGUUUUUGCCUUUUAAAAAAUAAAAAUGAUUGUGUUGGAGUUUAUGGGUGGAGUGGCAUGGCAAAGAUUAGCUGGAGGGGGCAUGAAAGAACUUUUUGGGAGUGCUAGAAUGUUCUAAAUCUUACAGUGGGGGGACGGAGGUUUGGCAGGCAUUUGACAGAACCCAUUGAAUUGUACAAUUUAGGAUUUUUGCAUUUCAUUGUAUGUAAAUUACCUGCCAAUAAAAACAUGAAUAGAGCAGUUAUGAACA